rnacentral:rRNA from 1 species
AGUGAACGCUGGCGGUAGGCCUAACACAUGCAAGUCGAACGGCAGCACAGUAAGAGCUUGCUCUUACGGGUGGCGAGUGGCGGACGGGUGAGGAAUACAUCGGAAUCUACUUUUUCGUGGGGGAUAACGUAGGGAAACUUACGCUAAUACAGCAUACGACCUACGGGUGAAAGCAGGGGAUCUUCGGACCUUGCGCGAUUGAAUGAGCCGGUGUCGGAUUAGCUAGUUGGCGGGGUAAAGGCCCACCAAGGCGGCGAUCCGUAGCUGGUCUGAGAGGAUGGUCAGCCACACUGGAACUGAGACACGGUCCAGACUCCUACGGGAGGCAGCAGUGGGGAAUAGUGGACAAUGGGCGCAAGCCUGAUCCAGCCAUACCGCGUGGGUGAAGAAGGCCUGCGGGUUGUAAAGCCCUUUUGUUGGGAAAGAAAAGCAGCAGGUUAAUACCCCGCUGUUCUGACGGUACCCAAAGAAUAAGCACCGGCUAACUUCGU